UCCCAGGGCACUCUGGGAAGGGAAAUCCCCAUUGUGCCGGAAAGCCCCCGGGUCUCAGCACUCUUAAUGUACCUUUGUCUGCACGUUGGAAACCUGGCCCUGGAACCAGUUCCUGGAGGCCGAGCCUUGCCCCUGGGUUAUAAAAUGAGCUUUACCCAUUUACCAGGGAUAAGGAUAACCCACUCUGGCUUUCAGCUGUGAGGCCAGCUCUCUAUCAGGGAGUGCGGCUCUUUUGCUGUGAGCCAGAGAUGCCCAGCCUGAAGUGAGCACAAGAAGAGCGACCACACCAGCCACUGGAUCCGAGCCCCCUACUGUAUGCAGUUGGACCUUGGUCCAGCCCAGGCAGGGAAAAAACCCAACUGCACACCCCUGCUUCCUCAUUCUGGGCAUGGAGCAACUGGACAGAAUGACUGUCAGAUCCUGGCUUCCAGCAGAAUCCACAGUGACUUUUGACCCCUGGCUCAGUGGAAUUCUGCAGAGAGGGGGUGGGUGGGCCCGUGGCCAAGAAGGCCAUGGGAAUUUUAGCUGGGCUGUGUUAUCAAAGGCAGAGUAACUCAUGACUGUCAGUGAAGGGCUU